GUUUACUGUACCUUAGUUGCUUCGGCGGGCCCGCCAUUCAUGGCCGCCGGGGGCUCUCAGCCCCGGGCCCGCGCCCGCCGGAGACACCACGAACUCUGUCUGAUCUAGUGAAGUCUGAGUUGAUUGUAUCGCAAUCAGUUAAAACUUUCAACAAUGGAUCUCUUGGUUCCGGCAUCGAUGAAGAACGCAGCGAAAUGCGAUAACUAGUGUGAAUUGCAGAAUUCCGUGAAUCAUCGAGUCUUUGAACGCACAUUGCGCCCCCUGGUAUUCCGGGGGGCAUGCCUGUCCGAGCGUCAUUGCUGCCCAUCAAGCACGGCUUGUGUGUUGGGUCGUCGUCCCCUCUCCGGGGGGGACGGGCCCCAAAGGCAGCGGCGGCACCGCGUCCGAUCCUCGAGCGUAUGGGGCUUUGUCACCCGCUCUGUAGGCCCGGCCGGCGCUUGCCGAACGCAAAUCAAUCUU
rnacentral:rRNA from 1 species